rnacentral:rRNA from 1 species
GGACAAACCGGAGGAAGGUGGGGAUGACGUCAAGUCAUCAUGGCCCUUAUGUCCAGGGCUACACACGUGCUACAAUGGGUGAGACAGAGUGACGCGAAGCCGCGAGGUGGAGCAAAUCGCAGAAAAUCAUCCGUAGUUCGGAUUGGAGUCUGAAACCCGACUCCAUGAAGGUGGAAUCGCUAGUAAUCGCGCAUCAGCAUGGCGCGGUGAAUACGUUCCCGGGCCUU